AUAUCACAUAUUACCUUACCUUUUCUCAUUCCAACAACAUGUUUUUCCUUUUAAUACCCACACCUACCCUUUUAAUACCCACACCUACCGUGACUUCCUUUUUCUUUUAUUUCUCUUCUCCUUUUAUUUUAUAAAACCUUAUAUAUUCCUUCCACGUAAUUUCUAUGCAAAAUUCCAUCCCAUGGAUAAACAACCUGUGCACACCCAUCCUCCCAUCUUUUUUCAUCCUCAUUGUUCACACACCCAACCACUCAAGCUUUCUUAAUUUCUCUUCACAGUAACCACAAUCUAUCACUUCCUCCUUAUGAAAGGUCACGUAAUAUUUUCCCAAAAACUUUCAGAUAAUCCCACGGAAACUAUCAUACCCAAUCUCUUGAAUUAACCUGACGCAACACUAUGGUUAGGCCAUACAAACUUCUUCUUCCCCUAAAAUCAACAACUUAACAUAUCUUUCACUACUCAGUUGCAUUUUUAAUUACCCUCUUUCACUGGUGCACACAAACUUAUAACCUCUUCCUAAUACACUCCGUAAACAUAGACCUUUCACUACCUCCCUUUUAUUUUUCUACUACAACACAACAACCCCUUUUUCUUCCUCUAGCAACUUCACCCUACAAUUGUACCACCCAAUCUCUCCACUUAAAUUUUUUUUAACCUCUAUGUAGGAGAAAGGAAACCCAUUUUUCUUUCUAUAUUCUCUAACCUAAGACUCUCCCUACUCUCUCUCUUUUUUAAGGAAAAUGAUAUUUUGACACAAAUUUUUG
rnacentral:lncRNA from 1 species